rnacentral:misc_RNA from 1 species
CCUCCUUUCUAAGGAUGAGUGAAAGUAAAAUUUCACUCUAAAUAAUAUACAUCGGUAAUGUUGACCGUCCUCAUUUCUCUUCUUAAAGUAAUGUUUCCUUCUUGUAGGGCCGGUAGCUCAGUUGGUUAGAGCACACCCUUGAUAAGGGUGGGGUCGAAAGUUCGAGUCUUUCUCGGCCCACCAAAAACCUAAAUGGGGGAUUAGCUCAUCUGGGAGAGCGCCUGAUUUGCACUCAGGAGGUAGCAGGUUCGAUCCCUGUAUCCUCCACCAGGAAACAUUUAGUUAUUAAAACUGUAAAUAAAAAUAAUUUAUAUCAAUAUCUAUAUCCGAACAUUAAAAGUUAUUAUUUAAUGUUCAAAAUAAAAAUUUGAUCACAACAUAGAUUAAUUUUCUGUUAAAAGAAUUUUUUUCUGUGCAUAAAUCAAGCGUUUAAGGGCGUGUAGUGGAUGCCUGGGCACUGAAAGCCGAUGAAGGACGUGAUAUACUGCGAUAAGUUUCGGGGAGCUGUAUGUAAGCUUUGAUCCGAAAAUUCCGAAUG